rnacentral:rRNA from 1 species
UACGAAGGGGGCUAGCGUUGCUCGGAAUCACUGGGCGUAAAGGGGGCGUAGGCGGGUCUUUAAGUCAGGGGUGAAAUCCUGGAGCUCAACUCCAGAACUGCCUUUGAUACUGAGGAUCUUGAGUUCGGGAGAGGUGAGUGGAACUGCGAGUGUAGAGGUGAAAUUCGUAGAUAUUCGGAAGAACACCAGUGGCGAAGGCGGCUCACUGGACCGUUGUUGACGCUGAGGUGCGAAAGCGUGGGGAGCAAACAGG